rnacentral:ribozyme from 1 species
AUUAGUUUGCUCUGUAAUGGGGUAGAAUCCCACAAUCCUCUUGAGAGGUGAUGUGACUCUUCUACUCAACUCCUAUUCCUACACGUCCUCGUCGUGCAGAGCGGUAACAUACAUCAUCAUCAUCACCCGUAAUCAAUUCUUGGCAUAGUACGGACUGGUAGUCUCAGUCUCUUUGACGGAUGAUGGUGUAUGGCAAAGAAGGAAGGA